AAACACUAUCCCAACUUCCCAUUUUUGAAACUCACGUAAUAUACAUUACGUUUCUCUCUCCCUUUCCAUUAAUUUUAGCCGUUUUUUUCUCCUCAGAAUCUAUCCAUUACCAUCAAGCACGAUUCCACUACAAUUUAUUGUGCCGAGAUUUGUGGGUGGUGGUGUAUUUGUGGUUUCCCAAUUUGAGUAGUGAAAAACAUCAAUUAAUGGCGGAUGAAAGCAUAUCUAGUAGGGUUACAAGAGCUUCUGCUGAGAAAUUGGUUGCUGAAAGGAGAUCUAAGAAAAUCCAUGAUCCUGUCAGAAUCAGAAAUCCUUCAACUGUUAAUUUGGAGAAAAAAAAUUAUGAUACUGCCACAAAGAGGAGAAAAACAUCCGAUGUUGCUUCUAAUAGCAAAGGGAAGA